UACAGAGGGUGCAAGCGUUGUUCGGAAUUACUGGGCGUAAAUCGUGCGCAGGCGGUUCGUUAAGUCAGAUGUGAAAGCCCCGGGCUCAACCUGGGAACUGCAUUUGAAACUGGCGGGCUUGAGUGUGGCAGAGGGGGGUGGAAUUCCGCGUGUAGCAGUGAAAUGCGUAGAGAUGCGGAGGAACACCGAUGGCGAAGGCAGCCCCCUGGGCCAAUACUGACGCUCAUGCACGAAAGCGUGGGGAGCAAACAGG
rnacentral:rRNA from 1 species